GACGAACGCUGGCGGCGUGCCUAAUACAUGCAAGUAGAACGCUGAAGAGAGGAGCUUGCUCUUCUUGGAUGAGUUGCGAACGGGUGAGUAACGCGUAGGUAACCUGCCUUGUAGCGGGGGAUAACUAUUGGAAACGAUAGCUAAUACCGCAUAACAAUAGGUGACACAUGUCAUUUAUUUGAAAGGGGCAAUUGCUCCACUACAAGAUGGACCUGCGUUGUAUUAGCUAGUAGGUGAGGUAACGGCUCACCUAGGCGACGAUACAUAGCCGACCUGAGAGGGUGAUCGGCCACACUGGGACUGAGACACGGCCCAGACUCCUACGGGAGGCAGCAGUAGGGAAUCUUCGGCAAUGGGGGCAACCCUGACCGAGCAACGCCGCGUGAGUGAAGAAGGUUUUCGGAUCGUAAAGCUCCGUUGUAAGUCAAGAACGAGUGUGAGAGUGGAAAGUUCACACUGUGACGGUAGCUUACCAGAAAGGGACGGCUAACUACGUGCCAGCAGCCGCGGUAAUACGUAGGUCCCGAGCGUUGUCCGGAUUUAUUGGGCGUAAAGCGAGCGCAGGCGGUUUGAUAAGUCUGAAGUUAAAGGCUGUGGCUCAACCAUAGUUCGCUUUGGAAACUGUCAAACUUGAGUGCAGAAGGGGAGAGUGGAAUUCCAUGUGUAGCGGUGAAAUGCGUAGAUAUAUGGAGGAACACCGGUGGCGAAAGCGGCUCUCUGGUCUGUAACUGACGCUGAGGCUCGAAAGCGUGGGGAGCGAACAGG
rnacentral:rRNA from 1 species